UUACGAGAUUACUAAACGAAUGAGCCGACUUAGCUAUUUUCUUUUAAUCGAUUAAAUAGAGCGAGAUCUUUUAAUACCAUGUAAGUUAGAACACCCUAAGACGAACGGGUUAGUCAUAGUUAUUUAUCCGAUCGUACGAGACGAGCUUCAGUUAGUUAUCUUGCUUAAUCAAUCCGAUAGUUGGGAUUAAUAAUAGAAUUAUCAAGAAUAAUAAAUCAUGCAUAAGAGAGUCAUGCAUAUUUAAUUUCGUAUUCUCAUUAUUUGAGAAUUCUGCUCGAGCAAAUAUCUUAUUUAAAUUCUCGCAAUAAAGGUCAAGCGUGAGAGUAAUACCUAGACGAGAGCUACGGCACCACAACUAGAGCUAUAAUCAGGUUGAUGGCUGGUGUUGACGGGGAGAGCUGAGGCUAGGGUUCAACUCCGUGUUUUGACUUCCGCUGUUGUGCUAGCCUUUAUCUGUCUUUCGUUCUCUUGACUUAAGACCCUUAUGUUAUGACUCUAAACGAUAUCUUUUGUUGAGCUUAGAGUUUUGACUCUCAAGUAUUUUGAUUAAGGAAUGUUGGUUAUCUGAAGCAUGAAACUAAACUUAUGUGAUCCUGAGUUUGAAUAUUGUCAUUUGAUUGGCAACUCUUAAGGCCUUUCAAUUUACCUCCUUUCA